GUCAGUGGGGCCACAAGGAGCAGCUGGAAACAGCUGGACAAAAGCUAACUGUGGCCAGCACAACAAUAAGGAAGAAGCGUAGCGAGAAGUGCCUUAAAUGAUUCCAUACCUCAUUUAUGCAUUUACAGGUGAAGGGAAGUUGAAGGCGAGGCGAGAAGCAGAGUGAGAAGCAGAUAGAAAAGCGCUGACAAACAAGUUAAGCGAGAAGCGAUGCAUGAAGUGAUGCGAGAAGUUAUGUAAAUGCCAACGGUGAAGGGAAGUUGAAGGCGAGACAAGAAGCAGAGUGAAAAGCAUGCGUGCAUUCAAAUAGAGAAGCGUUGACAAACAAGUUAAGCAAGAAGUUAAGUAAACGCCAACAGCAGAAGCCCAUUUGGACACGGCCGCUGACGUCAGUGGGGCCACAAGGAGCAGCUGUAAACAAUGACAAAAGCGAAGGAAGAAGCGUAGCGAGAAGUGCUUAAAACGUUUUCAUGCGGUAUUUCAUGCACUUAAAAUUGUCGGGCAGUAGAAGGCGAGAUUGCUGUGCUCAAUCUAAGGCGAGCGAACUUAUCAUUUCACUGCGCUUCUUUCGAAACGAGUUAUUAAAAGCACAAAUUUAUCAGACUUUAUUUAUACAGUAAAAUACAAAUUUAUCUA